rnacentral:rRNA from 1 species
GAUGAACGCUGGCGGCGUGCCUAAUACAUGCAAGUCGAGCGAACAGAUGAGGAGCUUGCUCCUCUGACGUUAGCGGCGGACGGGUGAGUAACACGUGGAUAACCUACCUAUAAGACUGGGAUAACUUCGGGAAACCGGAGCUAAUACCGGAUAAUAUAUUGAACCGCAUGGUUCAAUAGUGAAAGACGGUUUUGCUGUCACUAAUAGAUGGAUCCGCGCCGCAUUAGCUAGUUGGUAAGGUAACGGCUUACCAAGGCAACGAUGCGUAGCCGACCUGAGAGGGUGAUAGGCCACACUGGAACUGAGACACGGUCCAGACUCCUACGGGAGGCAGCAGUAGGGAAUCUUCCGCAAUGGGCGAAAGCCUGACGGAGCAACGCCGCGUGAGUGAUGAAGGUCUUCGGAUCGUAAAACUCUGUUAUUAGGGAAGAACAAAUGUGUAAGUAACUAUGCACGUCUUGACGGUACCUAAUCAGAAAGCCACGGCUAACUACGUG